GAUGAACGCUGGCGGCGUGCCUAAUACAUGCAAGUCGAGCGAACGGACGAGAAGCUUGCUUCUCUGAUGUUAGCGGCGGACGGGUGAGUAACACGUGGAUAACCUACCUAUAAGACUGGGAUAACUUCGGGAAACCGGAGCUAAUAACGGAUAAUAUUUUGAACCGCAUGGUUCAAAAGUGAAAGACGGUCUUGCUGUCACUUAUAGAUGGAUCCGCUCUGCAUUAGCUAGUUGGUAAGGUAACGGCUUACCAAGGCAACGAUGCAUAGCCGACCUGAGAGGGUGAUCGGCCACACUAGAACUGAGACACGGUCCAGACUCCUACGGGAGGCAGCAGUAGGGAAUCUUCCGCAAUGGGCGAAAGCCUGACGGAGCAACGCCGCGUUAGUGAUGAAGGUCUUCGGAUCGUAAAACUCUGUUAUUAGGGAAGAACAUAUGUGUAAGUAACUGUGCACAUCUUGACGGUACCUAAUCAGAAAGCCACGGCUAACUACGUG
rnacentral:rRNA from 1 species